AGGAGGCGGUGUUAAAUGGAUUACAUGAUAAAGAAGUUGGGAAGUAAAAUUUAGUGAAGUUAAGAGAGAUUCAUCAUCAGUGGAGCAACUACAGACCUAACGUUUGCCUAAGCUACACUAAGAAACACUGCAUGAACUAAAGGUCGUGAAAUGAUUUUCCAUUCAGAUUGAUAUGUCGUCAUUACCAUUUACUAUUUGGCCACUAAUAGACAGGAUUAUGAGAGUCCCAAGAAACGCUUUUGUUGA